rnacentral:rRNA from 1 species
UACGAACCCGACAAACGUUAUUCGGAAUUAUUGGGCUUAAAGGGUGCGUAGGCGGUGCGGUAAGUGCGGUGUGAAGUCCCUCGGCUCAACCGAGGAAUUGCGCUGCAUACUGCCGUGCUGGAGGGAGACAGAGGUAAGCGGAACUGAUGGUGGAGCGGUGAAGUGCGUUGAUAUCAUCAGGAACACCGGUGGCGAGAGCGGCUUACUGGGUCUCUUCUGACGCUGAGGCACGAAAGCUAGGGUAGCGAA